rnacentral:rRNA from 1 species
CCUGCCGGCGACCGGCGCACAGGUGAGUAACACGUAUGCAACCUGCCCCUGUCAGGGGGACAACCCGCCGAAAGGCGGGCUAAACCCGCGUACAUGCCACCGGGGCAUCCCGGAGGCAGGAAAGGCUUCGGCCGGACAGGGAUGGGCAUGCGGCGCAUUAGGCAGUAGGCGGGGUAACGGCCCACCUAACCGACGAUGCGUAGGGGUUCUGAGAGGAAGGUCCCCCACACUGGUACUGAGACACGGACCAGACUCCUACGGGAGGCAGCAG